rnacentral:rRNA from 1 species
AUUGAACGCUGGCGGCAGGCCUAACACAUGCAAGUCGAACGGUAACAGGAAGAAGCUUGCUUCUUUGCUGACGAGUGGCGGACGGGUGAGUAAUGUCUGGGAAACUGCCUGAUGGAGGGGGAUAACUACUGGAAACGGUAGCUAAUACCGCAUAAUGUCGCAAGACCAAAGGGGGGGACCUUCGGGCCUCUUGCCAUCGGAUGUGCCCAGAUGGGAUUAGCUAGUAGGUGGGGUAACGGCUCACCUAGGCGACGAUCCCUAGCUGGUCUGAGAGGAUGACCAGCCACACUGGAACUGAGACACGGUCCAGACUCCUACGGGAGGCAGCAGUGGGGAAUAUUGCACAAAGGGCGCAAGCCUGAUGCAGCUAUGCCGCGUGUAUGAAGAAGGCCUUCGGGUUGUAAAGUACUUUCAGCGGGGAGGAAGGGAGUAAAGUUAAUACCUUUGCUCAUUGACGUUACCCGCAGAAGAAGCACCGGCUAACUCCGCG